rnacentral:rRNA from 1 species
UACGUAGGUGGCAAGCGUUGUCCGGAUUUACUGGGCGUAAAGAGUGUGUAGGCGGAUGAUUAAGUCAGAUGUGAAAUACCGAGGCUCAACUUCGGAACUGCAUUUGAUACUGGUCGUCUAGAGUGCAGGAGAGGAGAGUGGAAUUCCUAGUGUAGCGGUGAAAUGCGUAGAGAUUAGGAAGAACACCAGUGGCGAAGGCGACUCUCUGGACUGUAACUGACGCUGAGACACGAAAGCGUGGGGAGCGAACAGG